rnacentral:lncRNA from 1 species
AUGCCCGAUAAAGCCUUUUCAAAAAGUUUUAUGGUUAAGUGCUUGGAAGAACUUUGUCAUGCCAUCCGAGGUGUCGAUGUUGGAUACGUUGGCGGGCAGAGGGAGGAAGGUUAAAUCCGGAUGGUUAGAAGAAUCGGGCGGAUUGAAGUCGGAGUGAGCGAUGGUUAUUGAGAAGUUUUAGGAGUGAAGGUAAGUAGCAAGUUGAAGCAUUGGGGUCAUGUGACCUUGCAGUGGACUUGCUACCAUCACCAGCCGCGGUCGUCGUCCGCCGUGAUCCGCCAUCUUUGUCUGUGUAUCAGUAUCACUAGUUAGGUAUCUUUGUUAUUAAAUAAACCUCACUACUUGUAAUUUGACAAUGAUGGUUGGUUCCAAGAAACUACAUAUUUUUUUUAUAUAUUUGUUCAAAAGCUAAAUGGAAUUUGACAACGUUGGUUGGCUCCAAGAAGUUACCCCUUCAAAAGCUAAAUAUAAUAAAUUCAGUAUUUGUUAAGCGUUGUAAAUUAAACAAUUAUGAAUUUAUUUCAUAAUCAAAUAAUUUGGAU